rnacentral:misc_RNA from 1 species
UCUAACCCGCAAGGGAGGGGGACGCCUAAGGCAGGGCUGAUGACUGGGGUGAAGUCGUAACAAGGUAGCCGUACCGGAAGGUGUGGCUGGAUCACCUCCUUUUAAGGAGACCCAAUCUGUUCAGGUUGCAACGUCACCUUAUUAGAACAGAUUCAAUGCGGUCUAAGCACGAGGUUGACCUUGGCUUUCAAACUCUGCUAGGUUAAGCAGACAGGCAUGGGCUAUUAGCUCAGGUGGUUAGAGCGCACCCCUGAUAAGGGUGAGGUCCCUGGUUCGAGUCCAGGAUGGCCCAUAUCACAUGCCUGGGGGUAUAGCUCAGUUGGUAGAGCACCUGCUUUGCACGCAGGGGGUCAGCGGUUCGAGUCCGCUUACCUCCACGUCACUCCAUCGGAAGCUGACGUGUCUGCACUCUGAAACUUCAGCAACCGAACCUUGAAAACUAAAUAGCGAUUUGUCAGGUAGUUAUCUUGGAUAGAACACUAACCUGUUCUAUCUAGAAACACAGACACCAAUGUUGACUGUGGUCAAGCUACAAAGAGCCUACGGUG